UUCCCCUCCUCCAAUCUGCAUGAAGCCCAUUUCAUUAGUUACCUAGAAUUUGUACAUUUGGAUUAGCGCAAGUCCCAGUCCAUCCCCGCGUUUUUCAAUGGCUUCGAGAACUAGUUCUAAAGGUUGUUGGAGCCACCGCCUUCUCCACCACCCCGUGCCCGUCCCGUGGUUUUCACUUUCAUUACCAUUUUCAUUUUCAGCGCGGAGCUGAACACUGUCAUCCCUGUGCAACAUCCGUGCCGAGGAAAAUGAAGACGACGACGACAAUGACGACGAGGAUAGUGAUAUCAUAUCCUCCAAGUCCCAAAUACGAAUCUCUCCGCCGUGAGAGCUGACAGAGACAGCCUUCCCGCGCUCACUCACCUGCACGCCAGAUACGGAGGACGUAUGGCCCCAGAGACGACGACCUGUUUUGAUCGUGAGAGCAUUGGCGGUGGAGACGACUAGGUACAUUGUCAACGUGUUGUCGGCGUGAGAGGUGAGGAGAUAUGGAUGGCUGUACGAGAUGGAGGUGGGCGGACGUGUGUAGGAGAGAGACGGGCUAUGGGGCACCGAGGAAGGUGUGGUGGUAAUGGAUCGAGCUUUCCUGUUAUUUCUAUGGAUGGGGCUUGCGACGCUCAUCAUUUUGUUGUGAUGAGUUUUGCCGGCGGUAUUUAGUAUCUUGGUCGAGGGGUUAAAGAGGUUAGCGCAGAAUUGGAUGUCGACAGUCGUUGCAAGUCGGGACCCUAGAUUCUCGCCAUCAUGGUUUAGCCGGAGUUCCUGUAUCCCAACUGACCAUCCGCAACCUAUGCGGGAGAAGCUGUAGGCUAUGGAUGCGACGAUUUCGGUCGCUAAGGACCGGAUGGAUAGAGAAAGUGGAGCGGAUAUGUUGCUGGCUUUAAGGGAGGCGAUUAGUUUCGGCAACUCCGUGGUGUGCUCUCGUUCUUCCCCCAUCCUUCCCGAAGAACAAAUUCGGUAGAGAGAUAGCGUUUGGUUCUGGGAUAACGUAAGGAGAUAGGAGGAUGAGGAUGCAAGAGCAGUAAUGGCCCCAUUAGGCGAUGUGGGAUGUGAGAAUCGGAAACAAAAACGUGCACUGUCACAGUUGAAAUAAUAUAUGUUGUAGCUCCCAUCCUCGAACCCGACGGUGACAUCGAAAUCGCCUUCGGUGUCACCUCCUGGCGUCACGGCAAUCGAUGUGGGUGUGAUACGGGGGCCGUCCCAUUCUUUUACAGUAGAAAAUGACAGUUUAGCCAGGCACAAUUUCGUGUCCCC
rnacentral:sRNA from 1 species